rnacentral:rRNA from 1 species
UACGAAGGGGGCAAGCGUUGUUCGGAAUUACUGGGCGUAAAGGGCGCGUAGGCGGCCGAUCAAGUCAGGCGUGAAAUUCCCGGGCUCAACCUGGGGGCUGCGCUUGAUACUGAUUGGCUUGAAUGCGGGAGAGGAUAGUGGAAUUCCCAGUGUAGAGGUGAAAUUCGUAGAUAUUGGGAAGAACACCGGUGGCGAAGGCGGCUAUCUGGCCCGUAAUUGACGCUGAGGCGCGAAAGCGUGGGGAGCAAAC